UAGAGUUUGAUCCUGGCUCAGAUUGAACGCUGGCGGCAGGCCUAAUACAUGCAAGUCGAGCGGAAACGAUGGGAGCUUGCUCCCAGGCGUCGAGCGGCGGACGGGUGAGUAACGCGUAGGAAUUUGCCCAAUAGAGGGGGAUAGCCCGAGGAAACUCGGAUUAAUACCGCAUACGCCCUACGGGGGAAAGGCUGGGAUCUUCGGACCAGCCACUAUUGGAGAAGCCUGCGUAAGAUUAGCUUGUUGGUGGGGUAAAGGCCUACCAAGGCGACGAUCUUUAGCUGGUCUGAGAGGAUGAUCAGCCACACUGGAACUGAGACACGGUCCAGACUCCUACGGGAGGCAGCAGUGGGGAAUAUUGCACAAUGGGCGAAAGUCUGAUGCAGCCAUGCCGCGUGUAUGAAGAAGGCCUUCGGGUUGUAAAGUACUUUCAGUUGUGAGGAAGGGUGUGUAGUUAAUAGCUGCGCAUCUUGACGUUAGCAACAGAAGAAGCACCGGCUAACUCCGUGCCAGCAGCCGCGGUAAUACGGAGGGUGCGAGCGUUAAUCGGAAUUACUGGGCGUAAAGCGCAUGCAGGUGGUUCAUUAAGUCAGAUGUGAAAGCCCGGGGCUCAACCUCGGAACUGCAUUUGAAACUGGUGAACUAGAGUGCUGUAGAGGGGGGUAGAAUUUCA
rnacentral:rRNA from 1 species